rnacentral:sRNA from 1 species
UGACAGUCCCGAGGAUUCAGAGAAAAUCCUUCUGCUUUUUUCUUUAAAAAGAAGAAGACUGGAACGGACAGCGGGAUUAUGC